UCAACAAAGUACUCAGUAAAAGUUCUGAAUAUUUAUGUAAAUGUGAUAUUUCCAUUUAUUUUUUAUACGUUUGCAAAGAAUUUUAAAAAACUGCUUUUGCUUUGUCAUUAUGGGGUAUUGUGUGUCGACUGAUGAGGGGGAAAAAAUACUUUUAAUACUUUCAGAAUGCACUGUAAUGUGCAACAUAUUGGCCGGAUCUGGUCUUUGGUUAGGAGCGCACCACCCUACCUUGAAGACCACAAGCAAACACCUCUCCAAAUAAAUAUAGAGCAGCUGAAUUAACUUGGCUUGACAUGGGUAUAAGUAGGAUACAGAUGGUAUAGUAAAGAUGAUUUAAAUGAACUUAUGAAGUCAUAUUAAAAACUUGGUCCCUAACCAUUUGUGACAAAUGAACUAAUGCUGAGCAAAUUUAGCCAUGAAGUCAACCGUACAGUUUGACAUCAUGACAGAGUUAAUAAUACUGACAUCCUAUACGUUGAUGAGCCUGAGGGAUUUGUAGUUGGUAUAUUCUGGUGCUGCCUCGUUUGAAAAACGUUAGUUAGCCAGAGUAUUGGCUAGAACACAGACAGCAGCCUGUGGGGAAUCUUGACAAAGAAAGGUGUGUUUUGGACAACGUUCCUUCCUGUACAAGAUUCCACACAGGGCUGCCACAGUCCUGGUAUACUUUUGGCUUCCCAUCCAACCAUCAUCUGAAGGGAAAGCUUGAUUCAUUGGACCAGGACUAAGUAUUGUGAUUGACUUCUAGCAAUCAGCUAUGUGGAGACAGAUAAACUCUUGUAUGCAUUUCUUAUAUUGCUGUUCUGUGGAGCUGCUGGUGGGGUAUUGACCUGGCUGGCCGAACGGUCCCUCUGACUCCCGCAUCUCCUCAUUCAUCUUGGCCAGUCGCAACCUUUGGGAAGAAAGGGAAGGGGGAGAGAAGGGAAGGAGGGGUCGGACACAAACUGUUAGAUGGAUUCACUUAAACUUCCCAGAGGUGACGAUGUCUGCAUUGGCUGCCUGCACAGCGAUACUCAGAGGGUCCUGCCCAUCCUCGUCCCCGUCGUUCUGCGUGGCUCCUCUCUUCAGGAACAAACACACCUGCCUGUAGAGGGCAGCAUGGAGACAGGUCAGACGUGAACAUGCAGAAGCAAAUCUGUACUCAGCAUCUUUGUCUUGUUUGCUAUCUAACCUGAGGAACAAUGUAGAAAAUAACUGAACAAUAAUCAGCUUUGCAUGCUACACCAUUGUCCAUGGAAAUGUUCACUUGUGGCUCAAAACAAGACAUUGACAAUAGUAAGGAAGAGAGAAGCGUUAUGCCUUGGCACUACUCACCCUGUGUGUCCCAGAUAUGUGGCGUGGUGUAGUGGCCCCCUCCCCCUUGCGUCUCUUUGGUUGACGUCAGCUGCAUUCUGGAGCAGGAACUCGCAGGCUAUCAAGGAGCCCUGGAAUGGAACACAAAGGUUCUGAGGCUCUCGCCAUGUUGCCAAAUAAAGCACAAUACAAUGUGAGAAAAUAUUGUGAUCAUGCAUAGACAUACUGUAUGGAUAGAUGUAUACAUUGAUGUUUCAACAUAAUGCGUCCAUGUAAUUUACUGUGAAUGACUAGAACUGCCUUUGCCAGUGUGCCAAGAACACACCUGCCUUUCAUUACAAUGACUCACCCCAAACACAGCCUGUAUGAGUGGGCUCUUGCGAUCAUCCUCGUCGUUGACGGAGUUGAUUUCAGCCCCGUGGGCCAGUGCCUCAGCCAUGACGGGCAGGUUGCGUGCCUGGGAGGCCUUGUAGAGCAGCGCCCCAGGGUGGAGCUCACGCCCAUCCUCUGGGUCCGACUGGGUCUCGGUCUCUGGCUCCAUCUCAGCCUCUCCGCUAGAGUCCUCUGACACCUCACACUCUGCAGAGAGAGAAGCAGCAGAGUUACAACUAGGAUUCAAUACAACUUCAUUUAUGCCCUCAAGGGCAAAUAAGGAUGGAAAUGGCAUUUUAAUACUAAAUAUGAUGGCUGAACCUAUGUUGUACAUUUCAUUUUCCAUCCUAUCCUUUACAGGUAUGUAUUUCUCUUCUUACCCUCCUCUGUAACACUGUCCACCACUGAGCCGAACACCAGGAUAUCUGUGCUGCCGUCUGUACUGCCGCCCAGGCCACUGUCACUGCUCAGACCUGCAGGGCCAAAAGGAGCCAAGCCAGGGACACGUUAGUCACUGUUGCUUCUAGCUAUUUCACUUUGCACACCACAAAGGAUUCAAGUAUCUCUGUGGUUUAGAGUGUAGUGUCUGUAUAUUAGAUGGGUAGGUAACUUACUACGAGGUCCAGAUCCUGUGUCGAAGUAAGAGAAGAGAUUGUCCAGCUCGUCUGGACAAAACAGUGACUCUCGUCGGAACUUUCUCUCUAGAGCUGAAGCGGCUGUAAAGCACAACGAGGGAAUGUUUAAAUGUACUGGGUUGUCAUUGUCAACUUUUUGUUUAGCACAAUUAGGAAUAUGGAUAAAAAGAGAAAAUGAGGAAGGUAUCCUUCCUCUCAUGCCAGGAGAGCUAUUAGGGUAUGAAGGGGUUAAACCAAGGCCUCAUACCUUUUAAAGGGUUAAUAAAUUGUGUUAUGAUAAACUGUAAGGUCUCUUAGGAGACCUCUGUGUGUGUGUUAACACCUGUUUUUAGUGUUGUGCCCUUCAGACACUAUCAGAAGGCAGAAACCACCUACGCUCAUACUCCUCCUGUCUGGGCCCCACCUGGAUAUCUGAGGUUCUGAGAAUAUGACUGGUUUUCUGAGAACACAAGGCUACCGCAUGCCUGAUGAAAACAGCCACCUGUCAGAAGAUGCUUAGACUCGUUCACCUUGUUAUGACCCGAUACUUGUGAUGAAAGUUUCAGCCAAACUCACUUCUGAGCUUCUAAUUGCUUACAAGAUAGUUGCUGCUGUCAGGGGGAGGUUAGAUUUAUUCAAAUGUUGUUGCCAGGGAAACUUACGCAAGGAGGACUGGGGAGGCUAUAUGAGUUACAUGUCUUAGACAUUUUGCAGAACCUGGGGAGAGCUAUCAUAUACUGUACUCUGUACCAACUUCUGCCUACAAUUGUAUUACUAAAGGAGAAUUGUAAUACUUAAA